AGUGAACGCUGGCGGUAGGCCUAACACAUGCAAGUCGAACGGCAGCACAGUAAGAGCUUGCUCUUACGGGUGGCGAGUGGCGGACGGGUGAGGAAUACAUCGGAAUCUACUUUUUCGUGGGGGAUAACGUAGGGAAACUUACGCUAAUACCGCAUACGACCUACGGGUGAAAGCAGGGGAUCUUCGGACCUUGCGCGAUUGAAUGAGCCGAUGUCGGAUUAGCUAGUUGGCGGGGUAAAGGCCCACCAAGGCGACGAUCCGUAGCUGGUCUGAGAGGAUGAACGGCCCAACGGGAACUGAGAAACGGCCCAAGCCCCACAGGGGGGCAGCAGGGGGGAAAUUUGGCAAAGGGGCGAAAGCCUGAUCCAGCCAUCCCGGGGGGGUGAAGAAGGCCUGCGGGUUGUAAAGCCCUUUUGUUGGGAAAAAAAAGCAGCAGUUUAAAACCCCGCUGUUCUGCCGGUACCAAAAAAAAAACAACCGGCCAAUUGCGG
rnacentral:rRNA from 1 species